UACGGAGGGUGCGAGCGUUAAUCGGAAUUACUGGGCGUAAAGAGUGCGUAGGUGGUUGAUUAAGUUAUCUGUGAAAUUCCUGGGCUUAACCUGGGCUUGUCAGAUAAGACUGAUUGACUCGAGUAUGGGAGAGGGUAGUGGAAUUUCCGGUGUAGCGGUGAAAUGCGUAGAGAUCGGAAGGAACACCAGUGGCGAAGGCGGCUACCUGGCCUGAUACUGACACUGAGGCACGAAAGCGUGGGGAGCAAACAGGAUUAGAAACCCCAGUAGU
rnacentral:rRNA from 1 species